CAUCAGCUCAGCUAGGGGCGGGUAGGACGAUAAGGCGAGUUGACAACACAGCGUUUCUUUUUUAUCAAUUGUGGCCACUCAAUAUGUCGAAAGUCUGCAUGAAAUGACAACUUUUGGGCUUACUAUCCGUCCCGUCAACUUCUCUCUCUCUCUCUCUGUCAUCUAACUUAGCAUAGCGCAGCGUGCUCCAUCAGAGAUCCUGGGCGAGGGUAAAGUGACAACAUUAUUGUGGGGAAAUGUGUCCAAAAUCACCAGGGUCAUUGACAGCUUAGUCAAUUUUAAAAAGAUUUGUCCACGACAGCCCUAAUGUAUCAUUAAUUUAUAUUUUCUGUACACGACUUUGUCUUUUGCAACCAUAAAUUGGUGCCUACAAUUCCGGAUGGCAAACUCGUCUUCGAGCUACACAGUGGCCACAAUUCAAAACGUUCUGCCCGCAUGUUAAGUCUGGGGCUCAUCUCUUGAUGUCCACACACUUACCAUUGUUCCCAGGGCUGGCCAGCGCGCCGGGCUUGAGGGCACGAUCGAAGCUGGGCGUGGCUACGGAUGAGGGAGGGCAGUUGGCAGAUGGGUCCCUGGGGCUGUGCGGCGGGGUGGGCGAGAUGAGUGGCGGGCCUCGGAUGCCCGGGAUGAGCGGUGCGUCCGGGGGAGGUGCCGAGGGCUGGCCCAACUCCAGCAGAACGCGUUGGCGCUCUCGCUCCAGAUCCUGGCGCCGAAUCAUCUCCUCAAAGGCGCUGAACUGCUCCUGCUCUUGCUGCCGCCGCUGCAUUACGGCCACGCGUUCCCGUUCGGCGUCCAGCGCCCGCUGGCGGGACUGCUGCAGAGCCAGAGCCUCCUCCUCGGCUUUCUGGAAGGAG